rnacentral:rRNA from 1 species
UGAGUAAUACGUCGGAACGUGUCUUCUAGUGGGGGAUAACUGCCCGAAAGGGCAGCUAAUACCGCAUGAGACCUGAGGGUGAAAGCGGGGGACCGCAAGACCUCGCGCUGGAAGAGCGGCCGAUGUCCGAUUAGCUAGUUGGUGAGGUAAAGGCUCACCAAGGCGACGAUCGGUAGCUGGUCUGAGAGGACGACCAGCCACACUGGGACUGAGACACGGCCCAG